UACGUAGGUGGCAAGCGUUGUCCGGAAUUAUUGGGCGUAAAGCGCGCGCAGGCGGCUUCUUAAGUCUGAUGUGAAAUCUCGGGGCUCAACCCCGAGCGGCCAUUGGAAACUGGGAAGCUUGAGUACAGAAGAGGAGAGUGGAAUUCCACGUGUAGCGGUGAAAUGCGUAGAUAUGUGGAGAAACACCAGUGGCGAAGGCGACUCUCUGGUCUGUAACUGACGCUGAGGCGCGAAAGCGUGGGGAGCAAACAGG
rnacentral:rRNA from 1 species